CAGGAGAGCUGCAGGCAGCAUCCAGACGAGAUUUGCUGGCCCGCAGGCGCUGCAGCAGGAGUGCAUGGAAAGCUGGUAUCUUCUCACCCUCUGGGAGCUGGGCUGCCCUUGUCUUUUGGUGGGAGAAGAGGAACUGGAGCAGGGGGCAAAUAUCACUGGACAAAGGAGCUGUAAUGGAUCCCAGAUUUUUGCUCAUGCUUGGAUUCAUACAUUCGUCUCUUUCAGCUCCCCUUAAAAGAACUGAGACUGUAUGUGAAGGAAUGUCUGUAAAUAUCUCCUUUAACACCGCUGAGCUAUGUGUUCAACUGAGUAGAAGAGCAGACUCGAACCACACCUGGAGUUCCCCAUGCAUGGUUUGCUUGGAAAAAAGACCUUUAUGCCCUGAAUUCAGAAACAGAUGCAGCGUAUACCUACAUGGCUUGACUCUGCACAACGUGAGCAAAGCCGACGCAGGGAUUUACAACAUUACGCCUCACCUGAAUGGAAACAGAAUUGCCACGAACAUCGUGCACCUGGUGGUGCUGGAUCGCCAGCCAUCCUCCACUCAGGGACCACCCGAUUCUCCUAUAUCUGGGACCACCCGCCCUGAG